rnacentral:rRNA from 1 species
AUUGAACGCUGGCGGCAGGCCUAACACAUGCAAGUCGAGCGGAUGAGGGUAGCUUGCUACCUGAUUCAGCGGCGGACGGGUGAGUAAUGCCUAGGAAUCUGCCUGGUAGUGGGGGACAACGUUUCGAAAGGAACGCUAAUACCGCAUACGUCCUACGGGAGAAAGUGGGGGAUCUUCGGACCUCACGCUAUCAGAUGAGCCUAGGUCGGAUAGCUAGUUGGUGGGGUAAAGGCUCACCAAGGCGACGAUCCGUAACUGGUCUGAGAGGAUGAUCAGUCACACUGGAACUGAGACACGGUCCAGACUCCUACGGGAGGCAGCAGUGGGGAAUAUUGGACAAUGGGCGCAAGCCUGAUCCAGCCAUGCCGCGUGUGUGAAGGAGGUCUUCGGAUUGUAAAGCACUUUAAGUUGGGAGGAAGGGCAGUAAGUUAAUACCUUGCUGUUUUGACGUUUACCGACAGAAUAAGCACCGGCUAACUCUGUGCCAGCACG